rnacentral:rRNA from 11 species
UACGGCCUAAAUACCCCAAAAUGGCACCGGAAUCCCAUCUAACCUUGGACGCUAAGCAGUGUCAGGUCUGAUUAGUAUUUGGAUAGGAGACUAUCCGUGAAGAACAGUAGGUUAUACCGUAU